ACUGUAAAUCAUUAUUUACUUUCAUUACUACAAAGCGGCCAUGUUGAAACUUAGAAAAAUGGCGAUGUGCCGUCAACGUCGUGUUUACUUGUUUUUCGCGAUGUCUUGCAUGGGUGGUCUAAUUCAUUAUUAUCAGUUUUAUUUCUCGAUGCUGUGCGAUUUCGGUGUUUUGUCGCGAAUUAAGGUAAAUUGCGGUGUUAUUUCGCGAUAUCGCGAUUCGCGAAAUUUCCGUGUCUCUAUAUAUGAUACAAUAAAAAAUGAUAAUAUAAAACAAUGCAGCAAUUUAUGUAGAUGCACUGAGGAAUUCAUUGACAGAGUAUGGAGCUAUUCGUAGUAGGUAAUCUUUGAGAUGUCGUUUAAAUAUGGUAUGUGAUUGGGAUGCUGUAUUUAACAGGGAUAUCGGUAGAACAUUUAUUAGUUUAAGGCCCAUGUAAAAAGGGUUCAAUUCGUAUUUUUUGUUGAAUGAAAAGGAAUAUGAUUCUUAUAAAUGGAUCUGGUAAAGUGAUUAUGUAUUUCAUUAUUCUUUACAUACUUAAUAUUUUGAAUUACAUAAAUGACAACCGAAUAUAUAUAAAUGGCUGGAAAUGUUAAGAGUUUGUUAUUCAGGAAAAUAGGCCUACAAGAAUCUGUCUUACUAAGAUUAUAAAUAAUUUUAAUAACACGUUUUUGAAGCUUAAAUAUCUUUAGCCAAUUUAAGGAAUUUCCCCAAAAAAUAACACCAUAUCUCAUUAUUGAAUAUAUGUUUGCAUAAUACAUAGCCAUUACUGCUUUAUGUGAAGUUACAGUAUUAAUAGUUUUUAUGGCAAAACAAAGAGAACUAAGUCUACGACAUAGAAAAGAUAUAUGAUUAUUCCAAUUUAGAUUCUCAUCAAGAUUCAGUCCCAGUAAUUUUGCUGUUUUUACAGUAUUAAGAAUAUUAUUGUCAAUAGUCACUUCAAUAUUAUUUAAUAUAUUUAUUUGAGAGUUAAAAUAUAUAAUAGAAGAUUUUUGAAUAUUUAGAAUCAGUCUAUUAUCAGUAAACCAAGUUUGCAUUUGGUUGAGGGUUAUGGAAAUUCUUUUUUGUAGUUCCUGUAAAGUCUGGCCUGUUACUAUAAUGGAGGUAUCAUCUGCAAACAUGAUAGUCUGGCCAUAAUCUAGAAACAAAGGUAAAUCAUUAAUAAAAAGCAAAAACAAAAGUGGACCGAGAAUUGAACCUUGGGGAACACCAAUACCAAUUUUCAAAAUUGUUGACCUAGAAGUAGUGGUAAUAUUAUUAUAAGUCACAUUAAUACUAGUAAUUUGUGAACGAUUUGAUAAGUAAGAUUUUAUAAUAUUGUUUGCAACACCUCUUAUACCAUAUUUACUUAAUUUUUCUAAUAAAAUAUCAUGGCUUACACAAUCAAAUGCUUUGGUUAAAACUACAAGUAUGCAAGCUGUCAAGACUUUAUUAUCUAAAUGAGAAUAAAUACUAUUGAGUAAAGUGAACAAUGCUUGUUCCGUUGACUUGCCUUUAACAAAACCAUACUGAUUACUGGUAAUUAUAUUAUAACAAUUUAAGAAUGAAAGCAACCGUUUUAAUAUAAUCUUUUCAAGAAUUUUUGAAAAAUUUGGUAAUAAAGCAAUUGGUCUAUAAUUAUUAAUGCAGGUAGUAUCACCCUUUUUAUGUAGUGGAAUAAUUUUCGCUAUUUUGAGCCUAUCAGGAAAUAUGCCAUUUUCUAAGCAUUUAUUAAAUAUAUAGACAAAGGGCUUUUUAAUGUGUUCUGCACAUGAUUUUAUUACAGAAAUAGGAACAUCAUCAAGACCAACAGAAUUUUUAUUUUUCAUACCUCUUAUUAUUUGAGUAAUUUCAUUUUCAUCUACUGGUGUUAGGUACAUUGAAUGCAAAUGCAAAUGAAUAUCAAGUAUUCUAGGUGAUAUUCCUGUAUUUAUAAUGGUUGAAUUGUUUUUUAUUAAAGAGGCUGCAAUUUCCGUAAAAUAUGCAUUAAACUUAUUAGCAAUUUGGAAACUGUCAGUGAUUGUAUUAUUAUCAUCAUCAAUUAAAGAAAUGUUAUGUUUAUUAUUGAAACAUUUCAUAUCAUUAUUAAUUAUUUGCCACAUUGUUUUACUUUUAUUGGUGGAAGAUAACAGUUUAUAUUCAAUAUAAAAUUUUUUAGCAUCUAUAACAGAUUUAUUAAAUUGUUUUUUAAAUCUUUUAUAAUCAUCUCGAAUGUAUGAAUUUUUUUUGCGGAGAAGCUUCUCCUUAUAAUGAUUUAAAAUUUCAAAUCCAGAGGCAAGAUCACUAUUAAUCCAAGGAGAGGACUUAUUGUUAAUGCUUAUCCAUAAAUAGGGAAAGUAUUGAUUAAAAUAAAGUAAAAAUGUAUUUAUAAACAAGUUAUAUGCCUUAUUGGGAUUGCAAGUGUUAUAGAUUUCUUCCCACAAUACAAGUGCAAUCUCAUUACAAAAAAUAUCUAUUGUAUCAAGUUUAAACAAUCUUUUCAGUAAAUGAGUAGUGGAAUUAUGAUUAGAUCUAAGUUCAGUGUCACUUAAUUUUAAUAUUAUAUGUUGAGCCAAAUGAUCAGAAAUAGCAGUAUCAAUAGUUUCUGCAAACAAAGUACUAGGGCUACAUCUAAUAUUAGUAAGAAUAUUAUCGAUACAUGUAUUAAUUGUAUUGCCAAUUCUUGUAGGGGUAAGUAUCGUUCUAUGUAUACCAUGUUGCCUAAGUAGACAAAAACAUUUAUUGUUUGUGUUAUUUUCCUCAUUACAAUUUAUAUUGAAAUCACCACAUAUUAUCACAUAUUUUUGUAUCCUUAGAACUUUUUUUAAAAUUAAGUCAAAAUAAUUUAAAAACAAUUCAAAAUGAAAUUUUAUAUCUUAUGUAUCCUAAAACCCUAUGAGAGGGAAUAAGAGACAUACCUUUCACUGCCAUCUGUAUAAUAAUAAAUACGUAGCAAAUAAAAUGGACAUUUGUAAAAAUCUUGCACAAGGACUUUUCCAUAAAAAAAAUUAAGUCAAAAUUACUGCUAAGAAAAUCACUGUAAACAAAAAUACCAACACAAACUGAAUUACCACUGUUGAUGCAGUAACAAAUAAAGUGCAACAAUCACUUGGCAUAAAUGCAGAAACUACAUAAAUAUAGGGUACCAUGUUUACAUAUUUAUAUACUAAGAAGAUGCAGAACUAACUGUGAUUUGCUACUAGUGUUCAAAAUUUUAAAGACAAAACGUAUCUCAUGAGAAUCUAACAAUGAUGCAAUACAAUAGAAUACAGUAGAGUAACAGAAAUUGGAUUAACCAGAGAAAAAUUAACUGUACUGUAAUUUGCACUGUUUGCCAUUUACCUGUAAUCCAAGAGUACACACACACACACACACACACUUGUUGAAGCACAAUUACCUGUGUAAAACUUUAUUGGCUUUCCUGUUUCUUCUCUUCUGAAGUCGUUCGAAAUAUAUUUCUCUGUUGUACAGUUUCACAGAAUGGUAUAUCUUCAUUCUUAAAAAUAGCUUCAUAGUAAAUAAUUAUGGAAAACUGGGGCAAGGAUGGCAGAAGUCAACAAGCUCAAAUGCUUGUAAAAUUGUUGUGUGCAAUUACAUGUGUCUUAUGUUUCUCAAACAACAGCUGGAACAAUUCAUCAAGUUUAACAAUGAAACUAACAAAAUCUUCACAAGGCAUCAUGAAAGCUCCAAAAUCUCCACGAUUACUUUAAUAUGCUCUGAAGUAACCUAACAACUGUGAACUGUCAGUGAGAAUGGCAUUAGCACGUGCAUAGUUUUCACAUAGGUACUCCACAAAAAUGUCGAAUGAGAGCUUUAGACAUAAGAUAGCCACUAAUGUAAACUAACGCAUUCUGCUCUGGAACAUUCAGAUGGCGGUAAUCUUGAGCAUUAACACAACAAACACUUGGUGACACUUCUUUUCUUAGCUUGCCUCCGGUUGUUCGAACAAUUAAAUGCUUAACAGCACGUUGUCCCGCGAGGCUAUUUACGUUUUUACAUUCUUCCAAGAAUCAAGUCAUUAAAAAAAUUUGAAUGGAAAUUCUUGCAGACAUAUUUACUUUCCUACGAAUCUUAGUAGUAAAUCCGAUUGCACAAAAUCACCACAAUAUUAUUCCAAAACAAUCUGUCGCUCUUAUACACUAAGCACACGAAUACGUUGGAAACGCAGUUAGAACAUGGCGGCCGUCCACGCGGUCGAGUUCGUGAUUGGCCAGUGGAGUUCGCUUCUGAUAUCCCUUAUUUAUUCUGUGUCGGCGUAUUUUCCUUUUUUCAGGCAUUUAAUGCUCUGUGACGUAUUCGCAGCUUGAGAAAGAAGAUUAUUCAGCUUGUUUAAUAUUGUACUUAAUGUGGAUGUUGCAAUUCCCAACCUUUUCAAUAAUGUCCCAUUUAUCUCGCACAGAUAAUGGAGAUAAUGCCUUACGUUUUUUACCGCAUUUUCACCCUUUUUUCACCCUUAUUUAUGUAUGUAUUUCUUAUUGAAGCACAUUUGCAGCUUAAUAACACGAAAUUCUUUUUACCGUCAAAAGUAAAUAAACGAAAAAAUAACGAGUCUGGCGCAUCAAAGAUCACUACGUAUCAUUUAGUAUCACAGUUGCUAAAGCUGGAACAAAAUUUUCUCACUUUCUAUGGAAAAAUUUAGUCCAGAGUUCUAUCUAGUGGUAGUCUUACGAACCUUACUCUAAAAAUAUUGAAUUUGCUGCUAUAAUGUACAAACCAGGGUGUCUACAGGUCACGGAAGUCACGGAAGUCACCAAAAAGUAACUAAAAUGAAGCGCUGGUCACGGAAGUACCGAAAAAGUGGCGCAAUUGUUGUGGAAGUCACGGAUUAAUGUUUAUUUACCCGUCGUAUGUAACGUUUCGAUACAAAUCGAUAGUUUGCGGGUGUAGAAAUCGACAUAUGCGCAUCAAUAGUCUCGCGGAAGCAGACGUUGAUAUCUUCUAAUCGAUCAGGGUGGCCAGCGACCGGGAAAACCGGGAAAACCGGGAAAAGUCAGGGAAUUCCAGGAAACCUGGAAAAGUCAUGGAAAAGUCAGGGAAUUUUUUUAUCUGUCAGGGAAAUUUUUUGUAGGUGAUUCAGUCUGCGUUUAUGUACUUUUAUGAAAAAUGUCAUGUGUUUAGCGAUUCAAAAUCUUUUCUAAACAUAAAUCUUCAUUCCAGAUUUGAAAAGCACGUGUGUAUUUAUUAAAUGUAUCGUGAUGUUCAACUAGUAACACGUCAGACUACGUCUUUGAGAGCAAUCGAACUUUUCGUAAUCGAUUGUAAUGCAUGACUGUGAGAUAUUGAGAUUGGUACCCAAUGCAGUCGAAAAUAUCGUAAUCAAAUGUAAAAUGCGCAACUGCGAGAAACGUGAGCGUCGCUAUGCACUUAUUCGUUAUUGACUUCUUGGUUAUGUAAUACUUUGUUAAUGUGAUUGAUAUGCGAAAUUGCGAAUGCCGAUUGAAGUGGAAAGUCGCCGCAUUGUUUUUUUAUCACGUAAGUAUUCUCCACAUUUUAAUGUGUUCCUACACAGAUUUUGUAGUUAGGCUGUACCCCAAAAUGGCGGUUUGCUAGUUUCGUUUUUGUGUUCGGUAUUUUUAAAAUCAAACACUAGGCGCUUGGUAUUAUCAUUUCUCUGACACUUCAUGUUAACUGCUGUCUAACUCAGUAAGGUUUUUUGGUAAAUGCUGAAAGUUUGAUAGUGAAUAUGAAAGAAGAAUCAUUUACCACGUUUCCAUGUCGGGUUUAAAACGUUUCGGGUAUCCAAUUUAGUUUGUGUACGAUACCCGUUUCCAUGCAAUAAUUAGAUCCAGUUAAAAACGACUUCGAUUUGCUUGAUAUAUUUGCUUGUUAUAAGGGUGGCGACAUUGAAAUUUAUGUUGGCUCACAUGAAAUAAAUAAAGACGUAAGUAAAUAAACACAAACAGGUGAUUUGUCAUUCUACUACGUCCGAAAUACUUUCCGUACGAAAAUAGAAUGGAUAAGCAAAACUAACACUUCUGUUGUCCACACAUUCCUACUAACACUCGUCAUUUUUAAACAACACACUUUAAAGUGUUUUAAACAACUGCCGUUGGUAACAAACGCUGUGCAUAUUUACUUUCUAUCCGUUUCCAAUACGUUAACCGUUUCCAUGCCAUUUUUCCCUCUGCUCAAUCCUUGAAACUCAUAACUUUUGGAACCCGUUUCCAUGGACGUUUUCGAAUCGGUAAGUGUUCUUAAAACGUUUUGAACCCGACAUGGAAACGUGGUAAUUGAUUGCAAGGAGAGUCGUGUAUGAUGCUGUCACCAACGUUGUAGGUUUGAACAAGUUAACCAUCACUAGGGAUGUGCGGGUACUCGAUAAUUUCAACUUCGAUUCGAUUCCUCAACUAUUUGAACCCGGAACCGAAACUAAAAUUAGGAAUCGAAAAAUUCUGGCAAAUUUUUCAAAAGUAAAAAAAUCGAAGAAAGAAAUUGACGGUUACCGUUUAACUGAUUGCUAGAAAUAAAUUUAUUCGUCAAUUAUCAUUAAUGUAACUCGCAAAAUUGCCGCGCACUUUCACUCAAGCAAAUUUCAUAACGUUUUGAAAUAUAGGUUAGGCCGAACAUUAAUUUUUUUUCAAAGAUCGUGUAUGAUAUAAUUUACACGUUCAGAACCACUAACUGUUUCGGCUUGCAAAGAUAAAUACCUUACGAAACUGCUUGUUUAUGAAAUAGUUUAACAAUCUACUCAAACAUUUUUAUUUCUGCCUACUUACGGCAUAUUACUCAUGACCAUUUCUCACGUUGCACGGUAAAAAAUAUUGUUGGUUUAUUUGUUUUUAAAAAUAAAUAACACAUAUUAAAAUGAAUUUUAUAACCAUCAACGCACAAUUUUCUGUUAACAGUUUAAAUAGUUCCUUGUUCAACCAUAGAUACAUUUACAAAGAUCGCCAUUCUGUGACAGUCUUCUGUUAACAGAAUAACCAACAUUAAAACAUUCACGACAUAAAAAUAUUUUAGCGGUGCCGGACGUGUAGACCAGUUGACAUGCCGGGAAGUCUACAACUCACAUAGUUUCGGUUGCCUGCAAGAAUUUCCGAAGAUUUCCGAAGUUUUGCGUUUUGGUAUUAACGCCACUUCAGCCGCUAAAUCAGAAGUUUCCAAUGAAAACAAGCAUGUUGUGACUAACCUAACCUAACCCUUCGAUUUUUUUAAAUUUCAAUUUUUGAGAGAAAUACGAAGUUGCACGAACGUGGUAGGGAACCGAAACUAUGUGAGUUGUAGGCUACCGUGACAGGCCACCAUUUAUCAAAGAUCGCGCGUGCCGACACAAAGGAAUCGAAUCACUGAAUCGUAACAUUCUGUCAGUAUCUAAGUACUGUUUACUGUUUAUGCUUUUGCCUUUUACAAAACUUAAUUAAAGCUGAUCAUUGUUGUGUGGUUUAACUUCGUGAAGUUAAUAAAUUAAUCAUAUUUACGUAUUUUUUUCCGUUUUUAAGGGAACAGAUCUUGUUGAAAUAAACAAAGAAAAAUAUGUUACUUAUUGGUUUUAAUUUAAAUAAACCUACUGGUUAGGCCAUGCUGCAUACGUAAUGUGCAAAUGUAGGUUAAUUAAUAAAUUAUACUUCUUAGUGCAGCACGCAUCGCACUAUCUCGGCGACUCCAGUGAGGCAGCUGACUUUACCGUUGGUAACAUUUGACAUCUUUAAACAGUGGUGAAGUGAUUAAAUAAAAAAAUAAGUAAUGGAUGAAAAUUGUGGCCAGUUCAAGCUUCCAGAAAUGUAUUUCUUAUUCAUUUUAGUUAAAUACAUAAAGUUCAAAAUAAAUGCAAUUUUUUUUUAGUUAGCCCUACCAGACUAAUGACUAUGUAGAUAAAGUUACCCAAAGAAUCGAAAUCGGAAUCGAAUUUCAACUCUUGAAGUGAGAAUCGAAUCGGAAUCGAAUCGAACUGAAAAUCAUGGAAUCGCACAACCCUAACCAUCACCAAUCCUCUGAUUCAUUCUGUAAAAAAUGCCCAUGCUCGGUACAAAGAAGCAAAUGAAAAGAAACAGGAAGCAGAAUAUGCAUUAUCAAAGGAAAUGUUGAAGAAGAGGAAAGCUGCCGCUCUGGUAAAGGAGCUCGAGGCAAAAAAAGCUGCACUUAUGUUAAAUGCACAGAGGGAAGUUGAGCUAAUUGAAAAAGAAAUUUUGUCUUUGAAUUAGUGAUAUGUUGUUGUUCGCAGCUACAAAAGAAAACAAGUGUGUAUACAUCUAUGUUUCAAGUUUUUUCAGCUAGUAAUUUCUUUACAAUUUAGGAUGGCUGUGUGGGAAACUUAUGGCUAACAAACAUGAGAAGUGAGAUUUUGGAUAGUUUUCAGUAAUUAUACCUGUGUCUUCAGCAUUUUUAUUUAUUUAUUAACAAUACCAACUUUAUUCAGAUUUAGAACAUUGUGCUUGUCAUUUUGUUGAACAUCACAUCAACAGGCAUGCUAUCUUCAAAUGUGUGAUCAAAUGUUUAAACUACUUACUAAACACACUUUUAAAGUGCAAUUUAUUUUAUGUGAACUGCUGUGAAGAGUUUGAAGCCGCCAGGGUGAAUAAUCAUAUUUUUGUCAAUUUUUCCAUUGAGUAAAUUUAUUACAUGUUGCUUAUUACUCACAUAUAAUUUAAAAAUUUCAGUAAUUCUGUCUUAGCAUAGUUGCCACAUGGUUAUUUUUGUAUCUUUGCAGAGAAAUUAAUGCAUUUUAAGUAGCUGCAUUGAUAGGCCUACACUAUAUCGUGUAAAAUUUUUGUAUUUUAUAGUGGUCAGGGAAUUUUCUUUAAGACCUGGAAAAGUCAGGGAAAAGUCAGGGAAUUUUUUUAUACUGACUUGCUGGCCACCCUGUCGAUAGUGCUUUCCUGUUUGCUGUUUCCUUUGUCUUCGAAACACGGAUGUUUGGAUUUGUACGUAGAUUUGUAAUGGCUGCCGACUUGUGUUGUGUAAAGUGGCGUGGAUUUUACUAAUUAUAACGUCAUGUAGUUGUAAUUCUUGUGAAUAUAAAACCGGAAAGAAAACGUUUUCGUUUGUGUGCCAGUUAACUGAGUUUAUAGUAAAAACGUUCCGUGCGUUAUUUACCAGUAAAUCGAUGUGUGCUUUUCUAAUUAAUCGCCACUGCAACGUUUUAGCACGUGGUACUAAAUAUAGAUCGGCCAAAAGGUGUUUUCUGUAAUUGGUGCAAAAUAUUUCUUGACUUUUAUGUAUCAUGUGCUAUUUAGGAACAUGGAAGAGUUUGUUGUAACAAAAAGUUACAGUUAAUUAUUUACUUAAGUUCUGGAAAUUCUGAUUGACACGUCUUCACGUGUUUAUGUAUAUAUAUGUGUGAAAUAUAAAAGAAAUGCCUGGAAAGUGCAGUUUCCAAGAUCAGUGGUUCUAAAUGCCUUGCGCAAUAGAAGGAAAUUGGACGUCUUGGCUUAGGCCUGUAGAAAAGUCACAAUACAAAGCUUAUUGCACUAUUUGUAGAAGCGACUUUGGUAUUUCCCAUGGUGGUGUAUACUGUGUUAAAGUUCAUGAAAAGGGGAAAAAACAUGUUCAGAAACUCCUGGAAAUCUCUAAAGGUAAGCAAACAUUACUGCAAUUUUCUAAGAAAAAUGAUGCUCCAUCUGUGUUGGCAACAGGCACUUCACCAAUGAACACUGAAACACAGAAUGACUGUUCUAGCGGAACAACUAAUAGUGAUACUAAAAGAACUGAAUGUGCAGGUACUUCUGGCAUAGGCCUAGGCAAUUUCAUUUUGAAGGAUGACGUAGCAAAGGCAGAAAUUGUUUGGGCUUUAAAUAAAGUAGUUACUCAUGGGUCUUCACGUGGCUCAGGAUCAAGUUCUGAACUGUUUCCGUACAUGUUCCCCGAUAGUUUGAUUGCAAAAAAUUUCAUGAUGCAAAAGGACAAAUUGUCCUAUGUUAUUACUUAUGGUCUUGGACCUUAUUUUCAAAGUAAACUUGUAGAUGAAGUAAAAAAUGCAAAUUUUUUUGCUAUUUCCCUAGAUGAAAGUUUAAAUAAAAUUAGUCAGAAAGGUCAAAUGGAUCUGAUUGUACGUUUCUGGGAUGAAGAUUGCAAUGCAGUUGUGACCAAGUACCUGACAUCAACAUUUCUUCAACGAGCAACAGCAAAAGAUUUGUUGGAAACUUUCACAACUACUAUGGCCAAUCUAGGUUUGCCCCUAAAUCACAUUUUGCAAGUAUCUGUUGAUGGGCCUAACGUGAACUUAAAGUUUUUACGUGACUUGCAAGACAGUAUUGGUAACGAGCUGGAUGGAAAUGGAAAGCCUUUUGAUACUGGAACAUGCCCUUUACAUGUUGUGCAAGGGGCUUAUAAAACAGCACACACUACAGUAGGAUGGAAAAUACAUGAAUUUUUGCGAUCUGUGUACUAUCUGUUCAGGGAUUUUCCGGUUAGAAGAGCUGAAUACACUCUGAAGACUGCUUCUGAAGUUUUCCCACUCAAGUUCUGCCAAGUUAAAUGGGUUGAAAAUUCAAGAGUACUUCAAAGAGCCAUUGAGAUGUUUCCAUCACUUGUGAAAUAUGUCAGUGCAGUAGAGAAAAAUCCCCCGAAUUCUCAGUGUUAUGUAAGAGUGAAAGAAGCCUUGAAAGAUAAGCUAUUGUUUGCAAAGUUGGAAUUUCUUCUAUCAGUUUCAUUGCAGCUAGAGCCUUUUCUAACGAAAUUCCAGUCCAAUGAUGCUUUAUUUCCGCUGCUCUAUCAAGAUACGUUGUCUCUCUUGAUAGGCAUUGGCACUUGCAUCUUGAAGAAAAAUGUGGUAGAAGACAUCAAAUCGGGUGUUCAGCUGACAAAUGUUGAUGUAUACAAUUCAGAUGUCUUGAAAGCUGUGAGCAAUAUAGAUAUAGGAUUUGGUGCCAAAGCAGCAUGCAAAGACCUUAAAGAGGUUGUAGUGUUGUUGUUUAGAAAUGAAUGCAGGUGUUACUUACAACAUAUAUUUUCAAAGUUUACUGUGAAGUCUCCACUCAAAUGUAAAAUUGUUAAAGGAGCAUCCUGUUUAUCGCCUGAAGUCAUCAGAAGUAGUCUAUUAAGAAACUCACGCAUUACCACUGCAUUAGACAUUUUUGUGUCAAAUGGACACAUGGCUCCACAUGUAGCAGACUGCAUCAAACGAGAUUACUUGAUUGUUUGUGACAAUGCAGCUGUUAAAGAUGCUAUAGAGACAUAUGAUUGGAGGUCUCAAAAAUUGGAUGCCCUUGUUUUGGAAUUAAUUUCUAUGGCGAAGGUGGACAAUGCUGCCCUGAUUCAGUUUUGCAAGAAGAUUUUAGUUAUGUUUCAUGGCAAUGCUGCAGUUGAGAGGGGGUUUUCAGUGAACAGAGAAUGUCUGGUAGAAAACUUGUCGGAAGCCUCUUUGAUAGCACAGAGAUGUGUGUAUGAUUCUGUUCAUUCAGAAGGUGGAGUUAAAAAUGUCCAAAUCACUAAAAAAAUGAUCCAUUCUGUAAGGAAUGCAUCUGCCAGGAGACAGGAAGCACUCAGGAUGAAAAACAUGAAGAAAGAUGAGGAAGUAGAAUCAAAGAGGAAAGCCAAGUCAGAACUGAAGGAACUGCAAGCUACAAAACGCAGGAUGUUAGAAAUGCAUAAGGAGGAAAUGACCAGCAUGGAGGAUAGGAUAACAUUUUUGAAAAAGCAGGCUUAAAAUUAUGAAUUAUGUUUUUAUCCAUAUCCACAGUGCAGAAACACAUAGGCCUACAAAUUUAAAUAUUAACUGUCAGUGUUUUUUGGCCAGUGUUGAAAUUGUGGUCUUGUAUAACAACUGCUAACACCCGGGACUAUUAAAAGCACGGCGAGGUGACGGCGCUGAUCCUGUCUGCGAAGAAGAAGGGCAGUGCGCUGGUGGAGUACAGCACCAUGCAGGCUGCGGU